rnacentral:tRNA from 1 species
GCCUGGGUGGCUCAGCCGGUUGAGCGUCCGACUUCGGCUCAGGUCGUGAUCUCGCGGUUCGUGAGUUCGAGCCUCGCGUCGGGCU